rnacentral:rRNA from 1 species
CACGUAGGGCGCAAGCGUUGUCCGGAAUUAUUGGGCGUAAGGGCUCGUAGGCGGUUCGUCGCGUCUGCUGUGAAAACCUAAGGCUCAACCUUGGGCUUGCAGUGGGUACGGGCAGACUAGAGUGCGGUAGGGGUGACUGGAAUUCCUGGUGUAGCGGUGGAAUGCGCAGAUAUCAGGAGGAACACCGAUGGCGAAGGCAGGUCACUGG